rnacentral:rRNA from 1 species
ACGAGAGGUCCAAACGUUAUUCGGAAUUACUGGGCUUACAGAGUUCGUAGGCGGUUCUACAAGUGAGGUGUGAAAGCCCUCGGCUCAACCGAGGAACUGCGCUUCAAACUGUAGAACUAGAGGGAGAUAGAGGUGAGCAGAACUGAUGGUGGAGCGGUGAAAUGCGUUGAUAUCAUCAGGAAUACCGGAGGCGAAGGCGGCUCACUGGGUCUCUUCUGACGCUGAGGAACGAAAGCUAGGGGAGCAAACGGGAUUAGAUACCCCGGUAGUCCUAGCCGUAAACGAUGAGCACUGGGCCGGAGCUCUGCACAGGGUUUCGGCCGUAGCGAAAGUGUUAAGUGCUCCGCCUGGGGAGUAUGGUCGCAAGGCUG